rnacentral:rRNA from 1 species
AACGACUCUCGGCAACGGAUAUCUCGGCUCUUGCAUCGAUGAAGAACGUAGCGAAAUGCGAUACUUGGUGUGAAUUGCAGAAUCCCGCGAACCAUCGAGUCUUUGAACGCAAGUUGCGCCCGAAGCCAUCCGGCAGAGGGCACGCCUGGCUGGGUGUCGUGA